UACGUAGGGAGCGAGCGUUGUCCGGAUUUACUGGGCGUAAAGGGCGCGUAGGUGGUCCAUUAAGUUAUAGGUGAAAGCCCGGGGCUCAACCCCGUGAUUGCCUGUGAUACUGGUGGACUUGAGUGCAGGAGAGGGGAGCAGAAUUCCCAGUGUAGCGGUGAAAUGCGUAGAUAUUGGGAGGAAUACCAGUGGCGAAGGCGGCUCUCUGGACUGUAACUGACACUGAGGCGCGAAAGCGUGGGUAGCGAACAGG
rnacentral:rRNA from 1 species